rnacentral:tRNA from 1 species
GUUUUAAUAGUUUAAAAAAAAUUAUGAUCUUGUAAAUCAUAGACAGGUAAAAUCCUUUAAAACU